AACGAACGCUGGCGGCAGGCUUAACACAUGCAAGUCGAACGGGUGUAGCAAUACAUCAGUGGCAGACGGGUGAGUAACACGUGGGAACCUUCCUAGGGGUACGGAACAACUCAGGGAAACUUGAGCUAAUACCGUAUACGUCCGUGAGGAGAAAGAUUUAUCGCCCUUAGACGGGCCCGCGUCGGAUUAGGUAGUUGGUGGGGUAACGGCCUACCAAGCCUACGAUCCGUAGCUGAUCUUAGAGGAUGAUCAGCCACACUGGGACUGAGACACGGCCCAGACUCCUACGGGAGGCAGCAGUGGGGAAUCUUGGACAAUGGGCGCAAGCCUGAUCCAGCCAUGCCGCGUGAGUGAAGAAGGCCUUAGGGUUGUAAAGCUCUUUUACCAGGGACGAUAAUGACGGUACCUGGAGAAUAAGCCCCGGCAAACUUCGUGCCAGCAGCCGCCGUAAUAC
rnacentral:rRNA from 1 species